UCAUGGCUCAGAUUGAACGCUGGCGGCAGGCCUAACACAUGCAAGUCGAGCGGAAACGACAACAUUGAAUCUUCGGAGGAUUUGUUGGGCGUCGAGCGGCGGACGGGUGAGUAAUGCCUAGGAAAUUGCCUUGAUGUGGGGGAUAACCAUUGGAAACGAUGGCUAAUACCGCAUAAUGCCUACGGGCCAAAGAGGGGGAUCUUCGGACCUCUCGCGUCAAGAUAUGCCUAGGUGGGAUUAGCUAGUUGGUGAGGUAAUGGCUCACCAAGGCGACGAUCCCUAGCUGGUCUGAGAGGAUGAUCAGCCACACUGGAACUGAGACACGGUCCAGACUCCUACGGGAGGCAGCAGUGGGGAAUAUUGCACAAUGGGCGAAAGCCUGAUGCAGCCAUGCCGCGUGUAUGAAGAAGGCCUUCGGGUUGUAAAGUACUUUCAGUUGUGAGGAAGGGUGUGUAGUUAAUAGCUGCGCAUCUUGACGUUAGCAACAGAAGAAGCACCGGCUAACUCCGUGCCAGCCGCG
rnacentral:rRNA from 1 species